rnacentral:ncRNA from 1 species
CUGCGAGGACGACCUCCCCCAUCAGGGCAAGGCAGUCGGGACGACCCGG